AAGAGAAGUGAAAGUAUUUGUUCGACCUCUGAUGGGCCACUGCCAAGCUAGUCCUCCCUCCUCCCUCGGCCCACGGGCGCCCAGCGCUCCUGGAGUGUAGCGGGAGGAUGAAGGCCUGCAGGCAGGGAAGGGGGCCCCAGGGACAAGCAGGGCCACUCCCAGGUGUCCCCUCUGUCUGUCUCUAGACGAUGGUCCUUAUCAGUUGUGUCCAGUCGUGACUAAGCCUGCCUCUGCCUGUGCCUGUGCCUGUGGCUGUUCCUUACAACCAGCGACUUAGUGAGUCCCAGCAUGUCCAUGGCAGAUGCUGCUUCCAGGAGGGAAAGCUGGAAACGUCCCUCGGGCCACGGGGGAGACUGGACUGAACGCAGGAAGGUCCUGACAUUCAGACCAGAGCUGGAGAGAGCGGCGUGCUCAGCCUUACAAAGGAGGCAGAACACCCUGAGCAUUCCUAGGCAUCAGUCAGAGGCAGGCGAGGUCUCUCCAAGCCCCUGGGGCCACAUGCUGAGCCAGAAGAGUGAGCACCAAACGGAUGGGGCGGAUUCCAGGCACUGAUGAGGACAUGUUUUCCAGUGGGCAGGGCCACUGUGCCUACAGUUCUCUCCUACCUGAGCCCCACAUGGGUGAAGAGGCUGAGGAUCAGAACCCCUUGAUGACUACGUCACCAUGAUGCAAUUAUCCCUCUGGCUUAGUGGUACUCGGUGGCAAUAUUUGGGCUUUUAAAGACUGUGGUGAGGGGGCUGGGGUUGUGGCUCAGCGGUAGAGCGCUUGCUUCACACAUGCAAGGCCCCUGGGUUCGAUCCUCAGCACCACAUAAAAAUAAACAA